GACGAACCGUGCGAACGUUAUUCGGAAUCACUGGGCUUAAAGCGCGUGUAGGCGGCCCGGAGCAUCGUCGGCUGAAAUCCCCCGGCUCAACCGGGGAACGGGCCACGAGAUGUCCGGGCUGGAGGGGGGUAGGGGGAGCCGGAACUCACGGUGGAGCGGUGAAAUGCGUUGAGAUCGUGAGGAACGCCCGUGGCGAAAGCGGGCUCCUGGACCCCGCCUGACGCUGAGACGCGAAAGCCAGGGAGCGAACGGG
rnacentral:rRNA from 1 species